rnacentral:tRNA from 1 species
GGAGAGGUGGCCGAGUGGUCGAAGGCGCUCCCCUGCUAAGGGAGUAACGGUUUACGCCGUUCGUGGGUUCGAAUCCCACCCUCUCCGCCA